rnacentral:tRNA from 1 species
CAGAAAGUAGUUUAAUUAAAUAAUAAUUUUGGAGAUUAUAGUUGGCUCUAAGUCCUUUCUGA